GGAGGCCCCAGGUAUGUUUCCUGCCCUGGAGGAGGAAUGCUUUACAGAUGUUGGAGCUGCCUCAAGGCAUGACCAGGAGGGGCCGGAGGGGCCGGAGGGGCUGGAGGAGCAGAACAUAGGUGGCGACGUUGGCCUGGUGCCUGCACAGGAGCAGUCAUUGGUUAAAAUGUCAUCUGGAAGGAGCCUAAAUCUUUGGGUCCUCCUUGGAGAGUCCCAGUAGAAGCAAUGCCUGCCCUUUGUAGAAUGCUGGGAAAAUAGAGAAAAGCAAGAACAAGAAAGCCCGGACCUCCUCCGUCAGCCUGCCUGCACGUGGGAGUUAAAAUGAAACGCUUUUGCAAACAUUUGUUAUUUUUGUUUUUCCUCAGUUAAACUCUGAUGGUGCACAUCA